rnacentral:lncRNA from 1 species
GACGUUUUGAAAAUAGUAUAUAAAGGAGCAGGGACCUCAGCAACCUCACACUGAAAACCCUAGCCGUUCAUUGCCUCAUUCCACAAUUUUUUCUCUCAAUAUUCAGAGAAUUUCUCUGAAUGAUUCACCUUCACGAUGGAAAAUCCGACGAUUUCCCAUGAAAUCUCCCAAACUAUUUUCAUAUUUCAGUAAAUUCUCUCUUUCUUGAUUUUAACCUAUUAGAUCGAACAUGCAAGCACCGAAGCCAAUGAUUUUGUCGAUUACAACUCUCAAAACGAUUUUUCUGUCGAUUGGGGUUCAUAUCUCCCCUGAGUUUUCGAUUAUUAUCACAGAUAAGUUCAUGCACUGAUUCUUUCCUUUCCCCUUUCAAAUUUCAAUUCUUUUAUUCGUAUAUUCUGACUCUUUGUAACCUAUAUAUAAGGUACGUUCUCUGGGAUUAUAGGCAAUAUCAUAUUUCAUGCAUCGAACAAGUCUUAGAAAAUAGAGACUCAGAGAGUCAGUUGAUUAGGAGAUUAUAUAUUUCCUUCUACGAUGCUGUGUACUUUGUUAAUGUAGAAGAAAGGGUCAAAUCUAAUAUUGAAUGUCUUUGUUCUUUGUUCUUUGUUCUAUGUAGGCUUUCUAUUGUUAAGCUCUAGCAAUCAUCAAGUUUCGGUGCGAGCAAAUUUGAGAAAAGAUAAAGUGAGUUGAUUAAGUUUUACACUCUGUAUUUCCCAUUUAUGAUUCUCUAUACUUAUAUUAUCCAUAAUAAAUUAACGUCUUUAUUUCUUGUUCAUGUAUAGGCUUUCUGCUAUUAAUAAGCUAUUGCAGUCAUCAAGCUUCUGUUCGAUCGGCUUAACUUUUGAAAUUCUACUCAACAUUGGUUAAGGUAAAUUUACUUUCGAGUCUAAAGGAUUGUAACUGUGACACCGUGUGCUACCUGCUAGACUGUUAGUGCUAAUUGUUGUGCAUUUGAAAGUCUGUUUAUGUGUUAUGUAACUAGAGUACUUAUUAGUGAAAUAGUUAAUUAACAAUUUAGCAUGUUCCUCGAUUCUUAAUCUUCUUUUCUUCCAUCAUUGUGAAUUCUAAAUCCUCUUUGAAUCUCUUCUUCUUUAGUUUCUGAAACCUCUCUUCUUCUCUUAUUUCUGAAUCCUCUUUUCUUCUUUGAUUUUUAAAUCCUCUUUGAAUAAUUNNNNNNNNNNNNNNNNNNNNNNNAUUAAUUUGAUCCUGAAUUUUAUCUUUUUCUCUUAAUCAUAAAAUAUAUUCACUAAAGUAAAAGUAACCUUACUAUCUCUACUAGUCUCUUCUCGACUGUUGCAAUCUGAUCGAAGUGUAAAAAGAGAAUUUUUUCAUUAAUUAUAAAAUAUUAGAGGAAGAGAACCCUUCUUUUUUUUUUCUCUUCUACAUCUAAUUUAAGCAUUCUUCUUCUGCUCUUUUAUUAUUAAUUACAAAACAAAAAACAUAAUUAAUGUAAUCUCCUUAAAUUAUAUCUUCUGAACUGCUGAAAUGUGAUGAAGCAUUCUCUCUCUGACAUUAAUUGUAGAGGAUUAGAGGAAGAAAAUCUUUUCUUUUUCUUUUCUACAGUUAAUAUUAGUCGUCUUUUUUUGUUCUGCACUUCCUCCUUGAUUGCGUAACGAGAAUAUAAACACCAAGCUACGUAACAUCCUCUAUAUAGCUAUUCUCUGUUCUCUGCUCUUCUAUCUAAUCCCUCUUUCUGAAACACUUAACCUAAAAUAGAAUCAUUAAUAAUUCUUAAUUUUUUUAAUAUAAAACAAAAACAUCAUAAAUCAUAAUUCUCUUCUUUUCUCUGAUGUACUCUUCCUCAUUGUCUUCUUAACUCUUCUCUUCGGUUCUGUUAAUUAAUAAGCGGUUACAUUAUCAGAUGGAAGGGGCACCUAAUGUCAAUGUGGAACCAAUUGGUAAUGCACCUGAACAAAUUAUCCAAAUUAACGAACCUGAACAGGCAACUGUCGUUGUGCCUGCAAAUGGUAAUUUGGUUAAUGGUAAUGAUGAUGAAGAUGAACCCAGACAACUUAGGCUUACAUCCAAUGUUUGGCCUUACUUCUCUAGGGUUAGGAUUGGUGAGGUAAUGAAGGUUAGGUGCAAGUACUAUAGAAAAUUAUUGGGUGGGGAAACAUCUAAUGGAACUUCUCAUCUGAGAAACCAUCUAAGAUCGUGUAUCCAAAAAAAGAUACACGACGACCAGCAAAAGAUUAUUGGCCCUAAUUACAAACCAACUGGUCCACCCCCAACUUGCUGCAUCCCUGUAUAGAGCUGAUGUUGCUAGGAAGGAACUCUGUUCCAUGAUUUUGGUUCAUGAGUAUCCUCUUAUCAUCGUUGAGCACCUAGGAUUAAAGCAUUUUUUUGUGCCUUGAAACCCCAGUUUACUGUCCCUGGUAAAAACAGAAUCAAGGACAUUAAAUUAGGUCCUGCAAUGAUGUUUAUCAAGUCGCGAUUCAGCUUAGAGGACUUACCUGUAUGGUUGGCAUCGGUGUUUUGCUCAAGGCAUGAACUUGUUGCAGUUGUUGAUAAUCAAAACUGUUGAAUAAUUCUAAAAUUCAGCAAACAUCUGAUUUUCUCAUCUUUUGCAGGUUUUUGGAUUCUGUUUUAUGUUCUUGGAUUAAUCCGAUUCAAGACUGGAUUGGACAUUGAAUGUGGCUGCUACUUGGGAUGAUGCUGGAUGCUGGACUGGAUUGGACAAUGAAGUUGAUUCUUGAAGAUUGAUGUUUUAUGAGUUUAUUUCUUAUUAUGUUGAACAAUUGAACAAGUUGUCAUUCUGCGAUUUUCAGUUUGUUGAACAAUUUCAAGUUAAGUUGGUAGCUGCAGAAUAUGAGCAGCAUAUCAUACUAUUCAUGUCUGAAGUUCAAGUACUAUGCUGAGGUUUUAUUAUUGUUUUCCGAAAUUUUUUAUGUUUGAAGUUAAAGUACUAUGUUUGAAG